GAUGAACGCUGGCGGCGUGCUUAACACAUGCAAGUCGAACGAAGCACUUUAUUUGAUUUCCUUCGGGACUGAUUAUUUUGUGACUGAGUGGCGGACGGGUGAGUAACGCGUGGGUAACCUGCCUUGUACAGGGGGAUAACAGUUGGAAGCGGCUGCUAAUACCGCAUAAGCGCACGGCAUCGCAUGAUGCAGUGUGAAAAACUCCGGUGGUAUAAGAUGGACCCGCGUUGGAUUAGCUAGUUGGUGAGGUAACGGCCCACCAAGGCGACGAUCCAUAGCCGACCUGAGAGGGUGACCGGCCACAGUGGGACUGAGACACGGCCCAAACUCCUACGGGAGGCAGCAGUGGGGAAUAUUGCACAAUGGGCGAAAGCCUGAUGCAGCGACGCCGCGUGAGCGAAGAAGUAUUUCGGUAUGUAAAGCUCUAUCAGCAGGGAAGAUAAUGACGGUACCUGACUAAGAAGCACCGGCUAAAUACGUG
rnacentral:rRNA from 1 species